CAGCAGCCGCGGUAAUACGUAGGUGGCAAGCGUUGUCCGGACUUAUUGGGCGUAAAGCGCGCGCAGGCGGUCCUUUAAGUCUGAUGUGAAAGCCCACGGCUCAACCGUGGAGGGUCAUUGGAAACUGGGGGACUUGAGUGCAGAAGAGGAAAGUGGAAUUCCACGUGUAGCGGUGAAAUGCGUAGAGAUGUGGAGGAACACCAGUGGCGAAGGCGACUUUCUGGUCUGUAACUGACGCUGAGGCGCGAAAGCGUGGGGAGCAAACAGGAUUAGAUACCCUGGUAGUCCACGCCGUAAACGAUGAGUGCUAAGUGUUAGGGGGGUUCCGCCCCUUAGUGCUGCAGCUAACGCAUUAAGCACUCCGCCUGGGGAGUACGGCCGCAAGGCUGAAACUUAAAGGAAUUGGCGGG
rnacentral:rRNA from 1 species